GCCUGAUGUCAGAACCAAUCACGUCCGGUCAAAGCCCAGCCCGCCCCCGCCGGUGUCCCAUUGGCUUCAUGUUCCGGGUCUGAUGACAGGGAGUGUUCUGGUUGUUCAGGGUGCAUUCUGUCCCCCCGAGGGCAGCCUCCGAGGGCAAGCCAGCGUUCUGCCUCGGGAGAGAAGACGGGAGACCGUGGCCCCGGUCCGGCCUGCAGCCAGAGGCGAUGAUGGCCCGUGAGGCCCCGAGACCCCCAUCCCAGGAGUCAGUGACGUUCAGGGACGUGGCUGUGAGCUUCACCCUGGAGGAGUGGGGCCUGUUGGAGCCUUCUCAGAAAGAGCUGUACCGGGAGGUCAUGCUGGAGAACGCCCAGAACGUGCUCUGCGCGGACUCUGAGGAAGACAGUGAGUGUGGAAAUUGGACAUUGUUUGAACCUAGUCCUGUAUGACUGGAAAUCUGAACCACCUGUGUUUGCUGUUGUAAAAAAUAGACUAGAAUUCAGGACUCCAAUCCCCAGAAUCCUUUGCUACACUUCCCCAGAAUGCUUUGUAAUCUCACUGAAUUCUCAGGUGGGCUGAGAUCGAGAAGGGAUUUAACCUGAUUGCAAAGGCUUUUGUGGCCUCUUUUGGACUGUCGUUUUGGAGUAGACUCGGCUCUUCCAUGAUGUGAGAUUAUCUUGUCUAGGCCUCUCUGGCCUAGGCACAUGUUUCUUAUCCUGUAUAUUCUUAAAUGCUUAACCUUUUAUAAACCUCUAAAAAAUAUAAUACUCCUUGCAGAGAGAAACUAAUUUCUACCUGCCUCAGUCUCCCCUAAAUUUUAAUCUUUACAGUUGGCGACCUAAUGGGAGAAAAAGACUCUCAAUCUUCUGAUUCUUUUCUGAUCUUUAGUUCAACUUUAAUAGCUAGUGCCUAGAAUUUUUUUUAAGCCAUGUUUCUCCAAGAUGCUUUUUAAAAAAACCAUCUUGAUCAGCUCCUGCCUGCAGCCCCCAUUCCUGACCUCUCUCCGUCCUCACCUGGUCCUGGCCCUGCCCACCCCUGUGGUCUUUCUCUUGAUCACCUGGCCCACCUGAUUCAACCAAGAUUGCAAUCACCUGGUGUCCGAUCUCCCGGCCCUGCCUUCCUGUUUCUGCGCCCCAGACCCACGAGCGCAACCCCAACUGGCUCAUCAUCCAGAUCCUUGGAGCAGAUCGCUCAGGACUCAUUUCUACCAGCUGGUAACAGUAUUGGCCAUGUGGGAAGAGGGGAGAGACAAGAGGGAAAGGAGACCGGGUAAUUUUCCCUUAGGCUAAGCCUCCACAUGGAUGGGGGUAUGGACCACAUGGGCAGAUCAUAGCAGGGGAGAGAGAAAAAAAAAGGGAGAAGAAACAGACUUUUCAAACAAGAACUCAAAAGCAAUGGGCUAUUUAAAAGAAUACCUUUUUAUCUGUUCUGGUAAUUUUAUUGACUUCACCUGCGUGUCAGAGAGAAGACUCAGCUAACUUUGGGGAGGCAAAUGGGUGGCUCAGCAAACUGAGAGCCAGGCCUAAAGACAUGUGGUUCUGGGUUAAAAUCUGGCCUCAGAUACUUCCCAGCUGUGGGG
ensembl:lncRNA